rnacentral:rRNA from 1 species
GAUGAACGCUAACGGCAGGCCUAAUACAUGCAAGUUGAACGGACUUUGGACUUCGGUUCAAGGUUAGUGGCGCACGGGUGCGUAACGCGUACACAACAUACCCUUAACUGGGGGAUAGCGGUGGGAAACUGCCAGUAAUACCCCAUACCCCUGCGAGGUGGCAUUACCUUGCAAGGAAAGUUACGGCGGUUAGGGAUUGGUGUGCGUCCGAUUAGCUAGUUGGCGGGGUAACGGCCCACCAAGGCGACGAUCGGUAGGGGGUGUGAGAGCAUGGCCCCCCCACACGGGUACGUGAGACACGGACCCGACUCCUACGGGAGGCAGCAGUAAGGAAUAUUGGACAAUGGGCGGAAGCCUGAUCCAGCCAUGCCGCGUGAAGGAAGAAGGCGCUCAGCGUUGUAAACUUCUUUUAAAUGGGAACAAUAACUCCGACGUGCUCGGGGGCUUGAGGGUACCAUUAGAAUAAGCACCGGCUAACUCCGUGCCAGCAG